AAAGAUUAAGCCAUGCAUGUCUAAGUGUAAGUGUUUACACAGCUAAACUGCGAACGUCUCAUUAAAUCAGUUAUAGUCUACUCGGCGUUCCGUUUUAAGUGGAUAACUCUGGCAAAUCUAGAGCUAAUACAUGCGCAGAAUCCCGACUUUUUGGAAGGGAUGCACUAUUAGGUCCUAAACCGACCGGCUUCGGCCGUAAGGUGAAUCUUGAUAGUCAGACAUGAUCGUUGUGGCCUUCGUGCCUACGACACACCGACCGAGUAUCUGCCCUAUCAGCUAUUGAUGGUAGUGUAUUGGACUACCACGGCUA
rnacentral:rRNA from 1 species